CACCUUCUUCUUUUGUAUACGGAUAGUCGACCUUCUAUAGGAUAGAAAAAAGUGCAUGCAUUAUAAACAGAAACGCAAAGUAUACUCCACCAACCAAGUGGACUUGUUUCAGAAUUUAUUAUUCUGAUAAUAAAAUUCUGAGACAAGUGCCUGUGAAGUGGACAUAUGAUAGAAGAGGUAACCACCAACCAAUGAUACCUUGGACUUCAAAUACCCGACGACCUAUAACAUAAUUCAAUUAGGUUAAGCGAUUUCGACUCUUGGCAUAUUUAGGCGCAACCUGUAACAUAAUUUUAUUAGGUUAAGCGAGUUCGACUCUUAGCCUAUUUAGGCGGAACCUAUAACAUAAUUCUAUAAGUUUAAGCGAGUUCGACUCUUGGUCUAUUUCUAAGGCGCAAUCUAUCACAUAUGACGCUAUCA
rnacentral:lncRNA from 1 species